rnacentral:lncRNA from 1 species
UUUGGUGAUAUAAUUGACCUGCAUCAGCCCCUUGGAGGACCAAUCAGAUUCCAGGGGUGGACUGUGACCCUGGCCCACCUCAGACACGCCUCUACAGAGAUGAGCAGUGGGCACAAGGCACGGCAAAAGUACUAUUAGUUUUAUAACGGUGACCAGUUUCCACCAUGAGGCUGCUCCUUAGUGCUGUGGCUGUCCUCAGCUUUCUGUGUAUUGGACACACAGCUCCAACCAUCAGCUGUGAUAGUCUGACACAGAAGAUUCAUAUAGAAAAUAGAGGCCAGCUUUUGGGGAAAUGGAUGUUUGUGGCAGAGACCGUUAACAUCCCAGGAAUCAAGCUACUGACAAAGAAAUAUGUGGACAGCGCAUUUGUAAAUAUCAGCAGUCAUCCCGACAACAACACUCUCAAGUUUUUUCAAUCUCAAAAAUCGUUUGGCACCUGCUUAUCUUUUUCAAGCACUUCACUUGUGGUUAACAACAGUUUUCAAAUGACUAUUCCUUACAAAGCUACUGAGAUUCUGCUGACCACCGGCUGUCCUGACUGCCUAGUUAUCCAGGGCAAUUUCACACUUGGGUCAACUUACUAUCAAAGCCUGCAGCUACUGAGCAGAAGGAGGGUGUUGAGUACUGCUGAACUCGAUGAAUUUAAGAAACAGGCAGCAUGUCUGAAUUUACCACCACCUGUAUUCAUGGACCCAGAAAAAGAGCUGUGCUCAGAGGAGCAGGACACCAGCAGCACAGACAUCACCUCCCUGAUGAACAGCGACAUGGGCCCACAGGUGUUUGGGAUGAUCGAGUCCGUCAUAAACACUCAAGGUGGCCUCACAGGCUUAGUCGAAACCUUUUGGGCAACCUGCCAACUGCAAAGCAAGAUUGAUUCUAUUAUGGAAAUAUUAGACUUGUACUACAAUUAGAG